rnacentral:rRNA from 1 species
GAUGAACGCUAGCGGCAGGCUUAAUACAUGCAAGUCGAGGGGCAGCAUGGUUGUAGCAAUACAACUGAUGGCGACCGGCAAACGGGUGCGGAACACGUACGCAAUCUACCCAAAACUGAUGAAUAGCCCUCCGAAAGGAGGAUUAAUACAUCGUAACAUAAUUGAAUGGCAUCAUUUUAAUUAUUAUAGCUCCGGUCGGUUUUGGAUGAGCGUGCGCCUGAUAGGUAGUUGGGCGGGGGUAACGGCCCACCAAGCCUGCGAUCAGUAACUGGUGUGAGAGCACGACCAGUCACACGGGCACUGAGACACGGGCCCGACUCCUACGGGAGGCAGCAGUAAGGAAUUAUUGGUCAAUGGACGCAAGUCUGAACCAGCCAUGCCGCGU